rnacentral:rRNA from 1 species
GAUCAUGGCUCAGGAUGAACGCUAGCGGCAGGCUUAACACAUGCAAGUCGAGGGGCAGCAUAAUGGUAGCAAUACUAUUGAUGGCGACCGGCGGACGGGUGCGUAACGCGUAUGCAACCUACCCUUUACAGGGGGAUAACACUGAGAAAUCGGUACUAAUACCCCAUAAUAUUCUGGGAGGCAUCUUUCGGAGUUGAAAGCUUUGGUGGUAAAGGAUGGGCAUGCGUUGUAUUAGCUAGUUGG